GUUGGACCUUUGGGGUCUCUUCCAACUCUACGGUUCUAUGAUUCUAUUCCAUUUUUUAAAUCAAGGUGACAGGAUGAAGUACUUCAUGUGCUAUGUCUGAACAACAUCCAGACAAGAGGACUGGCAGCUGUGACAAUGACCCAGGUGGAGAAUUCCUAUCUACCUGCAGUUCCAUAAAAAUGCUCUUUUAGAAACAAUGAAAGAUUGUACUUUCAUAUGCUUUCCCAUGUAAAACAUGGUGCAUGUAUAUAAAACUAGUAUGUGACAGCUGGGACCAGUGGAAUUUGUUGUAGUCCAACAUCUGGAGGGCACUAGGUUGGUAAAUGCUUCCACCUGCAUUCCAGCAUACAUUUUGCUGUACCAUAGAUUUCUGAACAGCUGUGAAGUUUGCACCACUGCAGUCGGAAUAUUUUCUUUUUAAAGAAACCAGUGCUGCUCUUGCAGCCACAGGCAAAAUACCUUGGCAAUUUCAUCUACAUUGGACCAACUGUCCAGAAAAACAUUUGUUACAUGCUGUGAUUUCUUCUAUUCACUCAGCUUUUGGAAGUGCAAUUCCAUCAGGAUUCUAUUGUACACAAUAAGCUAUCAUGAGGUGGGCCCAUUUUCAAAUCUAAUGAAAAUACUUUUCAUUUUAGAGCCGCUUAGCACUGCAGUGCUAUUACGACGACAAUAAUAAUAAUAAUUGAAAAGGCAGGAUUGUGGGGUGGGGCGGGGCUGCAAAGGGUUUUGAAGAGGCAUAGCGGAGCCUCUGAGAUCACACGGGUGUAAGACAACAGUAAAUGUAAACAAACUACAACUUGUAGAAAAGAAUGCCAUGUUUAUUUAAUAUGCUGUAAAAAGCCUUAUAUAAAUCUUUAUAAUGCUUUCUAGUGUAACUUUUCCCAAACCACAACUAAUGAAUUUGUAUAUUUAAAAAAAGAGAGAAAAUAUAGAUUAUAAUUGCCAUUCAAUUCUCAAGUGAUUUUUUUUUUGAAAUUUUAGUCAUUAAACAAGGUCAAGGUACUUUUCAAGCACUGAUUAUUUUCUGGGGAAGAGCUGUGCACAAAUGUGCAAAAGAAAUAAAUCAAAGAGAAAAAGCAGAAACUCAUUCAAAGGGUUUUCUGCAUAUUUUCAUGGGCUGUUGUGGUAAAAACUAGAACGAGUUCCCAGAGUACUACUAUUUUGCCCAGAGAUACAGAAUCUGUGACUCUCCAGAUGUUGGACUACAGCUCCCAUCUUUCCUAAUCAUUAGCCAUACUGACUGGGGCUGAUGGGAGCUGGAGUCCCAACAAUUUCUACCCACUGCCAGCAAGCGAGCAAGCGGGCUGACAUGGAGGGAAUAGCUAUAUGGGCUUACAAGCAGCUCCUCUUGAAGAGCAGUAGUAGCGGGACAUUUUGCUGCCUUCUGAUGUGCUUCAGCACUUCGGAUUAUGGAGCGUGUUCCAGAUACCAUAGGAAAUCAAAAUAAAACUAUAACUUUAAUCAUGGAUCCAAGCAGCCUAUGAAGUCUUCUGUGAUCAGUUAACAAGGGUAAUUCAGGUUAAUACCAGGUUCUCUCUCACUGCAUCCGGUGACUGUGGCUUUGUAUAACCAACCUUUAAAAAAAUAAAACCUCUAGCAAAACAAAACAAAAAGUGCAAUUGCUCUAGCUAUAUUAGAUUUCAAACACUGGCAACAUUGGUUGAUUCUGGAUCAUUUCCCCAUACAAAACUCUGUCCAUUUGUUCAUUGCACAGCUCUCCUGGGAUCGUACCAUUCCAACAGGCAGAUGGGGGAUUGAACAUGGAAGCUUGCAUAUUUGUGAGCUACUUCUCAUGAAACCUCUCUUCCCUGUAGAAAGUUAGCAUGGCAGGGAGAAGAAUUUCAGAAUUCUUCCCAACAUGCAGCUAGUUGCUUAAAUGCAGGAACUCUGUUCAAUUUUUUCUUUAACUUGGAAGAUGCAACUUGUCCACCACUCUAGUUCUGAAGUGGUCCACUUACAAAGAGGGCUGUGCUAUGUGAUAUUUGCAAGUUUGUAAGUUCAUCUCCAAUUCAUUGUAUUAAAACAAUGAACAACCUACCCCACAGCCAUCAAUAUUAGUCAACCCAACCCUCACCUCCCAAAGUUAAAACCAUGUGAGUAAUUUCAUCCUUCUUAAACACCACAUGUUGACAAGAAGUGAACCAUAUAUACUUCUAGUAAACAGAACUUUAUAAAUUUGCAAUCAAGCCAUUUCAGGAUCUUUGGUACUCAGAGCAGAAUAAAAUGGCACAACAAACCAUCAAGGGGAAGUUAAUGCAGGAGGAAGAAAAUGAAAGAAGCAAAAGGUAGGUUGUA